ACAGCGGUGGUUCAGUGGUGGAAUACUUGCCUUCCGUGCAGAAGGCCUGGGUUUGAUUCCUGGCUCAUGUA
rnacentral:tRNA from 1 species